rnacentral:lncRNA from 1 species
UAGUUUAAUUGAUAGAUAUUGAGGUUCUAAAUUAUACUAGGAUUAAGUUGAAUUAGGAUUUGGUUAGAGUUUGGUCUAGGUUUAGGGUUGGAUUAAGGUUUAGGAUUUGAUUAAGAUUUGGUUAGGAUUUAGGAUUGAACAAGGAUAUAAAAAUGAAUUAGGAUUUAAGAUUUGGAUUAGGAUUUUUUUAGAAUUUAGAAUUUAAGAUUUUUUUAGGAAUUAAGAUUAGACUAGGAUUUAUGAUUUGAUUUAGGAUUUUUUUAGGAUUUAGAAUUUAGGAUUUUUUUAGGAUUUAGGAUUUAGGAUUUUUUUAGAAUUUAGGAUUUAAGAUUUGCUUAGGAUUUAGGAUUUGGUCUACGAUUUGAUUGAAAUCUAUUAAGAUUUCAACUAGGAUUAAAUUAAGACUUUGUUGAGAUUUAUUUAAGAUAUAUUUGUAAUUAUUCUAAUAUUUCUUUAGGAUUUCUUUGGAAUUCUUUGAAGGUUUAUUGUAGAUUUUUUUUGAACUCUUUUAAGAUUUUUUAUUCUUUCUUUUGUAAUUUCUUUAAGGUUUCUUUUGAAUUUGAUUAAAGCUUGCUUAGCAUUAUUAAGGUUUUAUUAAAGUUUAUUUAGUAAUCUAUUAGAGUUAGAAUUUUGAUGUUGUAAUUUCUAUUCUAUCUUCUAU